GGACCCGCACAAGUAGUGGAGCAUGUGGUUUAAUUCGAAGAUACGCGCAGAACCUUACCAACACUUGACAUGUUCGUCGCGACUUUAAGAGAUUAAAGUUUUCGGUUCGGCCGGACGAAACACAGGUGCUGCAUGGCUGUCGUCAGCUCGUGUCGUGAGAUGUUGGGUUAAGUCCCGCAACGAGCGCAACCCUCACUUUUAGUUGCCAUCAUUUAGUUGGGCACUCUGAAAGAACUGCCAGUGAUAAGCUGGAGGAAGGUGGGGAUGACGUCAAGUCCUCAUGGCCCUUACGUGUUGGGCUACACACGUGCUACAAUGGUAUCUACAACAGGAAGCAAGACGGCGACGUUAAGCAAAUCCUUAAAAUGUGUCUCAGUUCGGAUUGUACUCUGUAACUCGAGUGCAUGAAGCUGGAAUUGCUAGUAAUCGC
rnacentral:rRNA from 1 species